rnacentral:rRNA from 1 species
UAGAGUUUGAUCAUGGCUCAGAUUGAACGCUGGCGGCAGGCUUAACACAUGCAAGUCGAGCGGUAACAGAAAUAGCUUGCUAUUUGCUGACGAGCGGCGGACGGGUGAGUAAUGCUUGGGAAUAUGCCUUAUGGUGGGGGACAACAGUUGGAAACGACUGCUAAUACCGCAUAAUGUCUACGGACCAAAGGGGGGGAUCUUCGGACCUCUCGCCAUUUGAUUAGCCCAAGUGAGAUUAGCUAGUUGGUAAGGUAAUGGCUUACCAAGGCGACGAUCUCUAGCUGGUUUGAGAGGAUGAUCAGCCACACUGGGACUGAGACACGGCCCAGACUCCUACGGGAGGCAGCAGUGGGGAAUAUUGCACAAUGGGGGAAACCCUGAUGCAGCCAUGCCGCGUGUGUGAAGAAGGCCUUCGGGUUGUAAAGCACUUUCAGUUGUGAGGAAAGGUAUGUAGUUAAUAGCUGCAUACUGUGACGUUAACAACAGAAGAAGCACCGGCUAACUUCGUGCCAGCAGCCGCGGUAAUACGAGGGGCGCAAGCGUUAAUCGGAAUUACUGGGCGUAAAGCGUUCGUAGGCGGUUGAAUAAGCAAGAUGUGAAAGCCCAGGGCUCAACCUUGGAACUGCAUUUUGAACUGUUCGACUAGAGUACUGUAGAGGGGGGUAGAAUUUCA